rnacentral:rRNA from 1 species
UACGAAGGGGACUAGCGUUGUUCGGAAUCACUGGGCGUAAAGCGCACGUAGGCGGAUAUGUCAGUCAGGGGUGAAAUCCCGGGGCUCAACCUCGGAACUGCCUUCGAUACUGAGAGUCUCGAGUCCGGGAGAGGUGAGUGGAACUGCGAGUGUAGAGGUGAAAUUCGUAGAUAUUCGCAAGAACACCAGUGGCGAAGGCGGCUCACUGGCCCGGUACUGACGCUGAGGUGCGAAAGCGUGGGGAGCAAACAGG